UCCCUGGUGGUCCAGUCGCUAAGACUCCAUGCUCCCAAUGCAGCGGGCCUGGGUUCGAUCCCUGGCCAGGGAA
rfam:TPA: Bos taurus chromosome 22, whole genome shotgun sequence.